CAUGUUCCAUUUUUUUUUUAAGGAGUGAGUUCCUUCAUUUGUGAACCCAAUUAGAAGACCCAAAAAAAAACCCAUCUCAUCUUCUCCUUCUCGAACGUCGUUCUUGUUUGAUGAAAUUAAUCCAUCUUUCGCUCAUGUUUAGCAAAUUCUUUCUGCAUGAAAGUUGUAGCCCUUGAAAAACUAACCAGUUUAGGUUCAAGAAUCAAUCAAUUUGGAGCAUUAUUGUAGGAGAUAACCCCUCUUCUUGUCGCUGCUACUGCAGUUGUUGCUUUCAGCACCAGCUUCUAUUUUCCAUGUUUUGAAGAUCUUGUGCUUAUUUUCCGCUUCUUGUUUCUGAAUAGAAGUUGUAGAUCUCUUUUCGUAGAUGAAUUUAGGCACAAAAAUCACUCAAUUUGGAUCCGUAUUCUAGGGUUUUUUUUAUGAGAAUUGAAGAAUUGAAAACAAUAUUGGGAACUCUGAUAUUGACAUUUGGGGUAAUACGGUAAUUCCCGAAAAACACAUUCAAGCACCUAAUUAAUGAAAUUAAUUUUAAUGGGAACUAUUUGGGGAAUACAUGUGACAUAUUAGGGUAUUAAUCAAGGUAUUCUAUCCUCCUAAUCACCCAUUAAGUAAAGCUUAAACAUAGAUACUUCCAGCAGUAUUCUGCAGCAGACCCACCUUGGGAAAUGACCAAAUUGACCCCCCUAAGAAUGAGAAAUUACAAAACUACCUACACCCACCCUUCCUAUAAAUACAGAGCAACCUCUCAUAGUUUUCUCCACCCCAGAAAAGUCCAGAAACCCUCUGCCCAGAGCUCUUCCCUCCUCUCCUUUUGUCUCGCCAGUUCUGGCGUGUUCCAGAUUGGGUAAGCAAUCGUUUGUGGAAAAACCAAGGGAAACCAAGCCAACCGAAGCCAAACCCACCAGCUAAGGGAAAGUGUUAGUGAAGAAAUCUCUGAUUCGUGAGCCAUAGUUGAGGAGAUAUCACCCCACAAUUAAGAUUCCUAUUCGUGAUUUUGCAGGGUUAGUUAAUGCUGGAAGUUGAAUCAGGGAUCGCGAAUGCAAAAAGAGAUAUAUGCUAGCUGAAUUUCAUAUAGAAGAUUGGGUAAGCAAUCGUUUGUGGAAAAACCAAGGGAAACCAAGCCAACCGAAGCCAAACCCACCAGCUAAGGGAAAGUGUUAGUGAAUAAAUCUCUGAUUCGUGAGCCAUAGUUGAGGAGAUAUCACCCCACAAUUAAGAUUCCUAUUCGUGAUUUUGCAGGGUUAGUUAAUGCUGGAAGUUGAAUCAGGGAUCGCGAAUGCAAAAAGAGAUAUAUGCUAGCUGAAUUUCAUAUAGAAGGUUGUAAUAGUUUUUUUGUGAAUAUUAUUAAAGUUAAAUAUGAAGAGUUAUUGAAUAUUAUGGAUUAAUUCCUUGUGGGUUAAGAGCUAAGUUUGAUUAAUGCUAUU